CAAAUAUUUACGGUGUUUACUGAUGGAAAGGAUACUGGUUGUAUUCCAGUGACAGGUGGUGGUGGUUGUACUGGGACAGGAAUUCAAAGAGAUUUAAAAAAAAAAAAAAUUGUCAGCAAAGUGUUACAGAGGUAAGAAAACUAAAUUCUAUAAUUUUCGAGAAUAUCCUUCACUGCUUGAAACAUUACACCAUGGGACACACAAACAUCUUAGUUUAUGAAUUUUUCUUUUGAAUCUUUUCAAAUUAUUAGACCCUGUGCUAAAUGCAUGGAUCGUUAUCAGUUUCCUUGGAAUCAAAAAAAAAAAAAAAAAUUUUUUUUUAUUUUUCUGUUAAACCAUCAUCCAGUGCCAACCAAGUUUCAAAAACAUCAAAUCUCUCGACAAAAAAAUAAAUUUCUUCGAAACCAAUGUUUUGGUGCUAGUUUCAUCUCCCAACUGUUUAUCUCUGACAGUUUUCAUUUUCUAGAAAAUCUUGUGUAUUAAC
rnacentral:lncRNA from 1 species